rnacentral:lncRNA from 1 species
GUCGACCCAUGAACUUGUUGAUUGCUCAAAGCUGUGACUUUGUCUUCAGUAAACCUACUAUUUUCUUCCGUUUUUUUCAGACGAAAGUCAGUGAUUUUACACUUGUGGCAUAAAACUUAACAAAAGACAGCAGUAACCUAUCAUUUGCAAUAAAGAAUGACCUUACUUGUAAACCCCACUUAGAAAUUCCUUACAUCUGGACGAAAUAAAUUCUGUCCUUGAUAUAUUUUAUUUAAUCUCAAAUUUCUUUCUGUAGUUUUAACACUAAAUAGAAUUGAUUCUGUUUUCCUUUUUUUCAAUGACCUUGAAGACAUAAGAAAUUUUAAUUCAAGUAUCUGUUCAAUAUGAACAGAUUUUUGGGGCCCUUUAUAUAGCUUGUUGUUCUGUGUGAGCAAAGACUGUGUGUUGAAGGCCGUACAUAGACCUAUAAUGGUUUACUUUUUACUAAUUGUGACUUAGAUGGAGAGUUGUCUCAUUGGCACUCAUACUACAUCUUCUUAUAUCUAUUGGGUUGAAUUUGCGAUUUAUCUUUCCAGAAUUGAUUUUUUAAAAUUUACAUAAUAAAAACUUUCAUACUUUUUCCUGUCAAGUUCAUUGAUUUUUUUUUAUAUAGAUUGAAUACCUGAGACAUUAAAGGAUGUAUCAAAGACAUUGAAUGUUGACCUUACAGGUUAUUAUAGCUCUACUGUGCCUUUGUAUCAGGGGAGGUAAUAAGUCAACAUUUUAUUUAUUUAAAGAAAAUGCCAAUUGUUUUUUUUUCUUCAAGUUGUAUAUCACUAAUUAGGUUCAAAUUGUUGAUUUUUUUUUACUAGUAAGGUGAACUGCUCAGGAAUCUGUAUUGCAUAAUAUCAGAUGUAACUAUUUCAUUUGAAUUUGACUAACUAUCUCUU